CUAAGUUCGAUGGCGACCGGCGCACGGGUGAGUAACACGUAUCCAACCUGCCGAUGACUCGGGGAUAGCCUUUCGAAAGAAAGAUUAAUACCCGAUGGCAUAGUUCUUCCGCAUGGUGGAACUAUUAAAGAAUUUCGGUCAUCGAUGGGGAUGCGUUCCAUUAGGUUGUUGGCGGGGUAACGGCCCACCAAGCCUUCGAUGGAUAGGGGUUCUGAGAGGAAGGUCCCCCACAUUGGAACUGAGACACGGUCCAAACUCCUACGGGAGGCAGCAUG
rnacentral:rRNA from 1 species